rnacentral:hammerhead_ribozyme from 1 species
AUCCAGCUGACGAAUCCCAAAUAAGAUGAAAUGACAGUCCUGGAU